GCGAGUGUGGCGGAAUUGGUAGACGCGGCGGCUUUAGGUGCCGUUGGGGCAACCCGUGCAGGUUCAAGUCCUGCCACUCGCACCA
rnacentral:tRNA from 2 species